rnacentral:rRNA from 1 species
UAUAAACCAAUGUGACCUGGUAGUCUUUAUUAAUUAAAGAAACUCGCCUCAUAAUCGUAAACACCCGCUAAAUCUAACUUAGUAAUAAAAGCUUAUAUACCGCCGUUAAGAAUUAACAAAAACACCAAUUCACAAAUUAUUAAUAACUAAAAUCAGGUCAAGGUGUAGCCCACUACAAAGAAGAAGUAAGUUACACAUAAUAUAAAAUUAAGGAAGAAAAACAAAAGCAACUCAGAAAAAGAAUUUAUUAGUACAAAAAAGUUAAAAUCUAGACUAGAUAUUAAAAAUAAAGAUGC